rnacentral:rRNA from 1 species
AGCGAACGCUGGCGGCAGGCUUAACACAUGCAAGUCGAGCGGGCAUCCUUGUGGUGUCAGCGGCAGACGGGUGAGUAACGCGUGGGAACGUGCCCUUCGGUUCGGAAUAACUCAGGGAAACUUGAGCUAAUACCGGAUACGUGCGAGAGCAGAAAGGUUUAUCUGCCGAAGGAUCGGCCCGCGUCUGAUUAGCUAGUUGGUGAGGUUACGGCUCACCAAGGCGACGAUCAGUAGCUGGUCUGAGAGGAUGAUCAGCCACACUGGGACUGAGACACGGCCCAGACUCCUACGGGAGGCAGCAGUGGGGAAUAUUGGACAAUGGGGGCAACCCUGAUCCAGCCAUGCCGCGUGAGUGAUGACGGCCUUAGGGUUGUAAAGCCCUUUUCUCCGGGACGAUAAUGACGGUACCGGAGGAAUAAGCCCCGGCUAACUUCGUG